GACACUUUGGCCGAGUGGUUAAGGCGAUGCCCUGCUAUCUGAUCUUCAGUAUCCAAGGCAUUGUGUUCGCACGCGCAGGUUCGAAUCCUGCAGGUGUCG
rfam:Escovopsis weberi scaffold00001, whole genome shotgun sequence.